GUCUACGGUCAUGCCACCCUGAACAUGCCCGAUCUCGUCUGAUUUCAGAAGCUAAGCAGGGACGGGCCUGGUUAGUACUUGGAUGGGAGACCACCUUGGAAUACCAGGUGCUGUAGGCG
rnacentral:rRNA from 1 species